rnacentral:rRNA from 1 species
GCCCUUGGAGGAAAGUAGGGGAUCGAAAGACCUUGCGCUUAAGGAGCGGCCGAUGUCUGAUUAGCUAGUUGGUGGGGUAAAGGCCUACCAAGGCGACGAUCAGUAGUUGGUCUGAGAGGACGACCAACCACACUGGGACUGAGACACGGCCCAGACUCCUACGGGAGGCAGCAGUGGGGAAUUUUGGACAAUGGGCGCAAGCCUGAUCCAGCCAUGCCGCGUGAGUGAAGAAGGCCUUCGGGUUGUAAAGCUCUUUCAGUUGGGAAGAAACGAUUACAACUAAUAAUUGUAAUUAAUGACGGUACCGACAGAAGAAGCACCGGCUAACUACGUGCCAGCAGCCGCGGUAAUACGUAGGGUGCGAGCGUUAAUCGGAAUUACUGGGCGUAAAGGGUGCGCAGGCGGUUUUGUAAGUCAGAUGUGAAAUCCCCGGGCUUAACCUGNGAAUGGCGUUUGAAACUACAAAGCUAGAAGGGCGAAUU